AGUAGAAUCGCAGGGUCAUAAGGUAACUUUACACACAAACUUUGGAGAAACUGCCAGAAUGUUUUCCAAAGUGGCUGCUCCAUUUUAUAUUCCUACUGGCAAU
rnacentral:pre_miRNA from 1 species